rnacentral:tRNA from 1 species
GGAGACGUGGCAGAGUGGUCGAAUGCGCGCGACUCGAAAUCGUGUAUACCGGCAACGGUAUCAAGGGUUCGAAUCCCUUCGUCUCCGCCA